UGGGGAAUAUUGGGCAAUGGGGGAAACCCUGACCCAGCAACGCCGCGUGAAGGAAGAAGGCUUUCGGGUUGUAAACUUCUUUUACCAGGGACGAAGAAAGUGACGGUACCUGGAGAAAAAGACCACGGCUAACUACGUGCCAGCAGCCGCGGUAAUACGUAGGUGGCAAGCGUUGUCCGGAUUUACUGGGUGUAAAGGGCGUGUAGGCGGAGGAUCAAGUCAGAAGUGAAAUCUCCGGGCUUAACCCGGAAACUGCUUUUGAAACUGAUUCCCUUGAGUAUCGGAGAGGCAGGCGGAAUUCCUAGUGUAGCGGUGAAAUGCGUAGAUAUUAGGAGGAACACCAGUGGCGAAGGCGG
rnacentral:rRNA from 1 species